AUGCCCGAAUCGACAAGAGGUAGUGGCAUCAGGAGCUGCAUCGUCCAGGAGCAGCAGCAGCCUUUCCAAUCGCUCCUUGCGCCUUGCCUUUCCAAUCUACUCACGCGGCAGAGAGCAGUUCUUGGCCACAGUACAUCUGCAUCCCUGUUCCAUCCAGAGCAACAAUCACAAUCAGCUCUAGAAUCUCUCCUUGCCUUUCCCCAAAUCAUAGGCUCCAAAGAUUGGAAAGAUGUGGGGAAAAUUAAGGAUGCAAACCUUGCAGGUCGAGCGUGGGGAGCUCGACUUCGGGGGCGACCUAGGAGCAGGUGA
rnacentral:rRNA from 1 species